GAUGAACGCUGGCGGUAUGCUUAACACAUGCAAGUCGAACGGACUCUUCGGAGUUAGUGGCGGACGGGUGAGUAACGCGUGAGAAUCUGGCUUUGGGUUCGGGACAACCACUGGAAACGGUGGCUAAUACCGGAUGUGCCGAGAGGUAAAAGAGAAAUUGCCUGAAGAUGAGCUCGCGUCUGAUUAGCUAGUUGGUGGGGUAAAGGCUCACCAAGGCAGCGAUCAGUAGCUGGUCUGAGAGGGUGACCAGAGACACUGGGACUGAGACACGGGGCAGACUCACAGGGGAGGGAGAGGAGGGGAAUAUUGUCCAAUAGGCGGAAGAGUGUGGCAGCGCAGUAGCGCGUGGGAGGACAAGAUUCGGGGGUUAAAAACCUCUUGUCUGAGAGGAAGAGUGAGUGACGGUACUGGGUAAAGAAGCAUCGGCUAACUACGUG
rnacentral:rRNA from 1 species